GGGGGCGAACUGGUUUCGACGGGGGUGAGGAAACGAGAGAUGCGUGCCGGGGGUCCUGUUCACCUCGUAAAACGAGCAGGGCUGCUUAACUGCAGACGCUAACUUUGCACUCGCGGCCUAAUUGACCGCGACGCUUCACCUGCCUGCGCCCGUAGGGCGGGCUGAGGCGCCAUUUCUCGGGCUGGGUCCCCGUCAGCGCCGGCGGGGCGGGGGCCGAGAUCAAACGCCGGCUGGCCGCGCGAGAUCCCGCCCGUGGGAGCGAGCGCGGCGAGAUAAGUUCGCGGGCUACGCACGUAGAUUCGCUCGUGGAUGCACCUUCGGACGGGGGUUCGAUUCCCCCCGCCUCCACUU
rnacentral:tmRNA from 1 species